GAUUUUUUAGUUUAAAUUAUAGAAAAUAUUUAGUUGUGGUCUAAAGGAUUUAAAGAUUA
rnacentral:tRNA from 1 species